CUAGCAGAGACUUAGACGGUAAGUCCAGGGCAAGCAACCCACUGCUGAGUUCAGAGGCACUGAAGCUGUUUGAAGAGGGCUCAGCCUUUUGGAAAUAAAAGCCGGGAGAACGUGUGGACUUUUUUUACAUCUUUAUCUUAUGGCAAUGAACAUGGAGCUGACUACCUACCUGAACAGGGAGGAAGGAACAGUGGAAAAAAAUAAAACAAAAUCUUCAACGA